GAAAUUCUGCAGAAGGCAUCAGGGGUUAUAAAAAAGUCUAUGCAAGGAGCUCAGGAAGUAGGGAAGUCUGCGACAAUAGAUAAUGGACUGGGGAUGCAUACUAUGUCAGAUAGUACACAAAGGAAAGGAAUCGCUGCAGUUCAAGGGUCUCAAACUAAGGUACCAACUUUUAGAACUUCUUUUUUCCUCUUUUAACCGUUGGUAUUUAAAAAAAAGUCAAGGAUGUUUAUAUGUUGAGGAUGAAAUGGUUUUGGAGUUUCACUGAUAUUCAUAAAUACAGUUAUUGUAACAAUUUCUCGUUUAUCUGGUAAACCUUGGUAAUUAUUUAAGCACAUGUUGCAUGGUUUUUUUUUUAAUCUUGUUUAAGGCGUAGCGUUUCUUGGUAGUGAUAGCCAUAUUCAUGGCCGACAGUAUAUUACAUGCUGAUGAAGUAAUUAGAAUCUGUUGAAAGACAUAGGUGGAAAGGAAUGAAUUGUUCGUUCAUUUUUCUUCAUAGACCAGUUUUUCAAUGUGGAAUGACAUAUAACUCUAGUUUAUUUUUCAAAGGAAAAGAUGAAUGUUGAGUUUAUUUAUGUCUUCAAGCCCAAAGUUUUUCAUAGACCAGUUUCUUCAUAGGGUUCAGUGUACUGUUUAUUAAUUUUUAAGAUGAAUUCAUUGCAUAAAUCUAUCCAUUGCAACUUACUUCUAUAACUACUAGAAUGUAUCAAGUUAUUUGUUUUCUCUUUCUUAUUUCUUUUUCUCUUAAAUAAAAUUAGGUUGACUGUGCCCUCAUUUGAUCUUCCAUAGAGAAAUACCAAAACUAGAAAGCAAGAUCUGAAGACUUCAUUAAACCUAUUCGUUGCUACCUUUAGAACUAAUAGAAUGUAUCAUGUUAAACCCAUAGACUCUGCAUUCUGCUGCCCUUGUCCACCAUGGAUAUUUGUUGACAGGUGACCUGUAAUGGAACCAUGAACUUUCUAUAAAGCAUUUUCAUAAUUGCUCGACUUUUUUGUGUCACUUGCAAUGCAAACUAAAGGUCUACAUUAUCAUCACUGAUGGUAAUGACAGUAUCUCAGAGUGGGAAAGACAUUUUUAAUGAAUCAAUAUGUUUAUAACAAAUUCAACCAACAGUACAAAGCUACAAUUGGAGCCGAAUUUGUCACCAAAGAAUUACAGAUUGAUAACAAAUUGUAACUUUGCAAAAAAUAACAGUCAUCAAAAUCAACCACAACCAAGAUGUCCAAGCAUUAGACAGAAACGAGAAUAAGAGCUGUGAAACUGGAAUUAUACGGAAAAAUGCUAAAAUUUGUUGUAUUGCUUUAUUAGGAUUUUUGCAUUGGCAACUGUUAUGAGCUCUGUACUAAUUUACAACCUGCCUGAGACGAUUCGUGAAGCUGACAUAUCUCGGCUGUCAUUUGCUGUUGAGCUUGCUGAAGAAUUUUAUGGAAGGUUUGUGCUUCUUCCAGUACUAAAUUGAAAGUAAUACCAAUUUAUUAUAUGCACUGAGCAAGCUUGGUGUAUUUUACUUUUUAGUUCCUGUUAAUAUAGACACUAACCUUUCUUGUGGUUUGCUUGACUAAUAUUACAUGGAGAACAGAGUGAAGGGGCAAGGCAUUGCUUUUGAACCUGCAAAACUUUUGUGGCUUAUCCAGUGUGAUUUUCUGCGUAAGUUCAUAAUUGUCUUCCAGCAUAUGUUUUAUGAAGUGUCAUAAGGGCCUGCUACUUUAACUAAUGAGAUUCUCCUGUUGCUUAAUGCUAUCUUCUGAACCUAAUGUUGCUAUACUCUAGAGAUGUCAUUUUGUGACCUUACAUAGUGGCCACUUUUCUUGCAACAUGAUUACUCGUAUAGCACUCCAAUCAUGUAUAAUGUCAUUUUAUUUUCAUUUUCAUUUUCGAUUAUCUUUGCAAAUAUUUUUUGUUUGAACGAAUCAUCUUCAGAAAAUGGAUUUUAAUGCGGCGGAGAAAGAGGAAUUUGGAUUCUCAAGAAACUAUUUCUUAGCAAAAGAAAUGGGCAGUUCUGGGAAGAAAUCUGCUCGUAAACUCAGUGAUAUCAAUGUCGUUGAUGAACAUGUAUUUUGCCUCAUUGAAUCCCCAUCUCAAAAAAAGCUUUUGUUUUUUUAUUCUUUUAAAUUUUGUUGUUUUAAAAUUGCAGGAACUUAGAGAAGCUUCAGCUAAUAUUGAACCAAAGCAUCAAAACGACAUUGCAGAUUUAAUAAAUAGUUACAAAAGUUUAUACCCAAAAUGGGUUUUUGAUCUCAGGAUGAUGAGGGGCAAACCUCACUAAGUGUGAGUCUAGGCAAAUCUCUGUCGCCUAAAUCACUAGGAAAUGUAAGCUUUUGUGGCGAAUCUCUUUAAGGACCAUCUAUGUUGUAAAACUCUGGAAAGGUAAGCCUUAAUAGCGAACCUCUUAAAAGGAAUGUCUUCAUGGCAAAUCUUUGAAAGGAAAGCCUAUGUGGCGAGUACUGAAUGAAAAUGACACGCUUUUGUGGCGAUCUUUGUUAAAGGGCAUGCUUUCAUAUCUAUCUUUGAAAAGGAAUGCCUUUGUGGUGUAAUCUAUGAACAAGAUGCCUUGUUGGCAACCCUGUAAAGGAAAGCCCUUAUGGCGAAUACAAAGGAAGCCUUUGUGGCUAUUUAAGUGAAGGGAUGCCUUCACCACAAAUUCUGAAUGAAUGGAGUAUAAGAAACUCUGAAAGAAUGGUAUAAAUAGUUCUCUGAAGGUAUAGUAAAGAUAGGACUCUGAAGAUAGGGUAAGUGUCAGGAACUCUUAAUAAAUAAUGUAUGGAUCAAGCAGAAGGAAUAAUGUAUCUAGUGAACUCUGAAAGAAAGGCUUCGUAUGUAAAUGAAAUGGCGAACCUUGUAUAAUAAUGAGAAAUGAACAAUGAAGCUAAAGCGUGCCAGAAAAUGUGGCGAAUUUGGGAUGAGUGCCAAAGGUAUGUGUAGAUGGUAUUCUGAAGUAAUGAAGGUAUUGACGAAGUUUAUGUUAAGUGUUACCUCGCCCAAAGGUAAUGAUAAAAUCAAUAAGUAUGAAAUAAGAUUUGUAAGUCUAUUAAUAAGGAAAACGAAGUGACUAAGGUCUAUGCAUAGAUAAGAUUCAAAAGGAAAUAGAAAGUCAUGGGUUUGUAAGUAUAGUACGCUCAAAAGAAUGAAAUGGUCACCUGAGUUUAGGCCUCACAUCUGGAGCCUAGUAAGGUGAAGACUUAAUGAAUAAGGAAGGUAAGUCCUUAAAGACACUGAGAGGAAGGCAAAGGUCUAAAAUAGGAAAGAAUAAUUGAUACGAGCUAAGGAGGUGACACUCAAGGGGUUGUUUUUCCUAGUGGUCCAAUCACUCGAAGCAAGGCACGACAAUUAAAAUCAAAGAUGAAUGCUUUUGUCCAAGACUUUGUUGCUACAAAUUUAAUUCAUCAUGUUCGUGACGUUGACAAAUACGGGAAUGCAAUUCACUGACCAAUCUUGGAAUAGUGAAAGCCUAUAAAUUGGUGGAUUAAUCUUUUAUGUAUAUUAUUAUUAUUUACUUAAUUCUCAUUGGUUGGGGCACAUCACUUAUGAGUUAAGUAAUUUUAUUGGUUAGGUUAUUAUUUAUUUAUUUUCUUAGAUAAUUUUAAAGAGUUUUAUUAGGGUUCAAUUACUCUUGUAUAAAGAGUUUUAUUCGGGUUCAAUUACUCUUGUAUUUUACCUAUAAAUAGGCUUGCUUUCUAUACAUUGGGGGACACAUAAAAAAAGGAGUAUUUGUUUUCUUCCAAAUUUGUGUGAGGUAAAUUUUUGAGAGUAGAGUGAUUCUUCUCUUGCUAUUAGUUUGGAGUUUGUUACUUUCGAGGGUAUUUCGGAGUUACAAAUAUUCAAAUUUCUUUCCCGUUCAUCGGUGUUUCUAGAGGUUCUUCUUCUAGGGGUUUCGUAGGGAGCCGCUCAAUCAUUGACGUUUUUGGGUACAAGUUAACCAAUGGUUUCAUAGGGCAAAUCUAUCCCUUUUUAUUAUUAUUAUUAUUUAACUAAUUUUAUUUAUUCUCGUUUUUAUUUCUAAUUUAUGUUUCUCUUGUGUUUAGAUCCGGGAUUUUCGCAUUAGUUGGUAUCAGUUUCAGGCCAUUCGGUGUUAUUUUUGAAGCUAAAAUCAUAUCCGAAACGAGUCAAAAUAUCAAAAACACUUUUAAUCGGUUUCGUCAAUUUUUUUAAAUUAGUUAAUAAAAAAAGCAAAAAGCGCAAAAAAAAAGUUGAGAAAAAUCGUAAAAAAAAAAGCAAACUACGCAAAAAAAAGGCAAACAGCGCAAAAAAAAGAAAAAAAAAGUUGCCUACCUCUCAUACGUAGGUUUCUUCUUUUCCUAUUAUUAUUAUUAUUAUUUUUAUUUUUUCCAAAAUUGAAUUUUUUUUCCUUCUUCUUUUCUUGACUCAAGUAUAAUUAAAGCUUCAAAUUUUUUUUUGAAAAUCUUAAGACACCGAACGUUUCUGAUUUUUGUUUUUUUGUUUUUAAAUUGGGUAGAGUUUUCUUAAGUUUUCUUCUUAUUAAAGAUUUUCUUUGACUCUAGAGUUAGGGAUCGUUGCAGGUCUACGUUUUUUGUUUCUCUUACGCUUUCUAACACUUUGUUUCUUCUUGUGUUAGCAGAUAUUAAAGGCACGCACAAUUCCUUCAUCCGUGUAACCUUCAUUACAAAUUGCCUCGUCAAGAUUAUUGGCCUCUUAAAGCAAUUAGGAUCUUCAUUGUUUCUUUGAAGUUUGCACCUCCGUUAUUUGAUCUUGAUUAGUAACCCUCUCCAAACAUAUUUACAAGUUUUGAAUCAUUUAGAGAGUUAUUCUUUUGAGAGCUAACGAGUGAAAUUAUUAUUUUUUCUUUCUUGUUCUUGUUUGUGUGAUUUUUUCACAGAUACCAUGCCGAUCACUAGAUCCCAAACUAGUAAAAAUGAAGAGGAUGAGCAAAAAAGAGAGAACGAUCCUUUGGUCGAGUUGUUACAAAAAGAGAUGAAAAAGUUGCAAACUCAAUUCGAACAUCGCAUGAUCCAGAUGUUACAAGAGCAAAGGGAGUAUCUUGAUACAAAACUUAAAACUCAAGAGAGAUAUAUUACCGAUAAUUACAAGAAGUUGAACGAAGCCUUUAUAAGCCGAUCAAAUUCGCGAGAUCGAACUUUUAAACGAAGGGAGGACCAUGUUUUUGAUGAUGACUUUGAGUCCGAGUAUGUACCUAGAGAAAGGUUGGAACGAAACAAUGACACCUCCAAACCGAAAUUUCCUUCUUUCUCAUGGAAGAAUGAUCCUGAUGCUUACCUUGAUUAGGAGGAAAAGAUGGAAGCAGUCUUUGCUUGUUACAAUUACUCUGAUGAGAAAAAGGUAACAUACUGUCAUUUGAGUUCAUUAAUU